rnacentral:rRNA from 1 species
UACGUAGGGGGCAAGCGUUGUCCGGAAUCAUUGGGCGUAAAGAGCGUGUAGGCGGCCCGAUAAGUCCGCUGUGAAAGUCCAGGGCUCAACCCUGGAAUGCCGGUGGAUACUGUCGGGCUCGAAUCCGGAAGAGGUGACUGGAAUUCCUGGUGUAGCGGUGAAAUGCGCAGAUAUCAGGAGGAACACCGAUGGCGAAGGCAGGUCUCUGGGCAUUAACUGACGCUGAGGAGCGAAAGCAUGGGGAGCGAACAGG